rnacentral:tRNA from 1 species
ACUUAAAUAGUUUAAAUAAAAUGUUAAUUUGUGAAAUUAAAGAUAUAAGGUUUUAUUUUAAGUA